rnacentral:rRNA from 1 species
CGCUUUCACUCCUACGGGAGGCAGCAGUGGGGAAUAUUGCACAAUGGGCGCAAGCCUGAUGCAGCCAUGCCGCGUGUGUGAAGAAGGCCUUCGGGUUGUAAAGCACUUUCAGCAGUGAGGAAGGCGGAGUCGUUAAUAGCGGCCUCGUUUGACGUUAGCUGCAGAAGAAGCACCGGCUAACUCCGUGCCAGCAGCCGCGGUAAUACGGAGGGUGCGAGCGUUAAUCGGAAUUACUGGGCGUAAAGCGCAUGCAGGUGGUUUGUUAAGUCAGAUGUGAAAGCCCGGGGCUCAACCUCGGAAUAGCAUUUGAAACUGGCAGACUAGAGUACUGUAGAGGGGGUAGAAUUUCAGGUGUAGCGGUGAAAAUGCGUAGAGAUCUGAAGGAAUACCGGUGGCGAAGGCGGCCCCCUGGACAGAUACUGACACUCAGAUGCGAAAGCGUGGGGAGCAAACAGGAUUAGAUACCCUGGUAG